GUGAGGAAUAUUGGUCAAUGGGCGGGAGCCUGAACCAGCCAAGUCGCGUGAAGGAAGAAGGAUCUAUGGUUCGUAAACUUCUUUUGCAGGGGAAUAAAGUGCAGGACGUGUCCUGUUUUGUAUGUACCCUGAGAAUAAGGAUCGGCUAACUCCGUGCCAGCAGCCGCGGUAAUACGGAGGAUCCGAGCGUUAUCCGGAUUUAUUGGGUUUAAAGGGUGCGUAGGUGGUUUGAUAAGUCAGCGGUGAAAGUUUGCAGCUUAACUGUAAAAAUGCCGUUGAAACUGUCGGACUUGAGUGUAAAUGAGGUAGGCGGAAUACGUGGUGUAGCGGUGAAAUGCAUAGAUAUCACGCAGAACUCCGAUUGCGAAGGCAGCUUACUAAGCUACAACUGACACUGAAGCACGAAAGCGUGGGGAUCAAACAGGAUUAGAAACCCCUGUAGUCC
rnacentral:rRNA from 1 species